GAAGUUGCCCGCGUUUUUUUCG
rnacentral:miRNA from 15 species